ACCUUUUGUAUAAUGGGUCAGCGACUUAUAUUCUGUAGCAAGGUUAACCGAAUAGGGGAGCCGAAGGGAAACCGAGUCUUAACUGGGCGUUAAGUUGCAGGGUAUAGACCCGAAACCCGGUGAUCUAGCCAUGGGCAGGUUGAAGGUUGGGUAACACUAACUGGAGGACCGAACCGACUAAUGUUGAAAAAUUAGCGGAUGACUUGUGGCUGGGGGUGAAAGGCCAAUCAAACCGGGAGAUAGCUGGUUCUCCCCGAAAGCUAUUUAGGUAGCGCCUCGUGAAUUCAUCUCCGGGGGUAGAGCACUGUUUCGGCAAGGGGGUCAUCCCGACUUACCAACCCGAUGCAAACUGCGAAUACCGGAGAAUGUUAUCACGGGAGACACACGGCGGGUGCUAACGUCCGUCGUGAAGAGGGAAACAACCCAGACCGCCAGCUAAGGUCCCAAAGUCAUGGUUAAGUGGGAAACGAUGUGGGAAGGCCCAGACAGCCAGGAUGUUGGCUUAGAAGCAGCCAUCAUUUAAAGAAAGCGUAAUAGCUCACUGGUCGAGUCGGCCUGCGCGGAAGAUGUAACGGGGCUAAACCAUGCACCGAAGCUGCGGCAGCGACGCUUAUGCGUUGUUGGGUAGGGGAGCGUUCUGUAAGCCUGUGAAGGUGUACUGUGAGGUAUGCUGGAGGUAUCAGAAGUGCGAAUGCUGACAUAAGUAACGAUAAAGCGGGUGAAAAGCCCGCUCGCCGGAAGACCAAGGGUUCCUGUCCAACGUUAAUCGGGGCAGGGUGAGUCGACCCCUAAGGCGAGGCCGAAAGGCGUAGUCGAUGGGAAACAGGUUAAUAUUCCUGUACUUGGUGUUACUGCGAAGGGGGGACGGAGAAGGCUAUGUUGGCCGGGCGACGGUUGUCCAGGUUUAAGCGUGUAGGCUGGUUUUCCAGGCAAAUCCGGAAAAUCAAGGCCGAGGCGUGAUGACAAGGCACUACGGUGCUGAAGCAACAAAUGCCCUGCUUCCAGGAAAAGCCUCUAAGCAUCAGGUAACAUCAAAUCGUACCCCAAACCGACACAGGUGGUCAGGUAGAGAAUACCAAGGCGCUU
rnacentral:rRNA from 1 species